CAGGAGAUUCUAAUAAGGGCGUAUGGUGGAUGCCUUGACUGAAGAGAGCGAUGAAGGACGUGGUCUGGCUGCGAAAUGCAUCGGGGAGCUGCCAAACAAGCUUCGAUCCGGUGAUGUCCGAAUGGGGAAACCCUAUUGAGUAACCCUCAAUAACUUUGCACUAGCAAAGAGCUUACCUCGGGAAGUGAAACAUCUCAGUACCGAGAGGAAAAGAAAACAAUUGUUAUUCCCUUAGUAGCGGCGAGCGAAACGGGAGGAGCCCAAACUUAAUUGAGAUCAAGGGGAGCAUUUUUAUGUUCCUCCUGAUCUCGGUUAGGGGUUGUAAGGCGUAAGCGCUGUGUUUACACAGGAAGAGUUACAAAAUUUUUGGUUAGCAGAAUCAUCUGGAAAGAUGAGCCCCAGCGGGUAAUAGCCCCGUAUGCGAAAAUCAAAAAUCUCUUUGGCUUAUGUCCUUGAGUAACUCAAGACACGAGUAGCUUGAGUGAAUCUACCGGAACUAACCGGUAAGGCUACAUAUCUCUUCAGAUCGAUAGUGAACAAGUACCGUGAGGGAAAGGUGAAAAGAACCCCGGUGAGGGGAGUGAAAUAGACCUGAAACCAUAUGUCUACAAGGAGUCGAAGAGGGCGCAAGUCCUCGACGGCGUGCCUAUUGAAGAAUGAGCCAACGAGUUGAUGCAUUCGGCUUGCCUAAGAGGUGAACCCUCGGAGGCGUAGUGAAAGCGAGCGUGAAUAGCGCGUUUGUCGUUUGUAUCAGACCCGAAGCCAGGUGAGCUACCCAUGAGCAGGCUGAACGCUAUCGAAAGAUAGCGGGAGGGCCGAACCGGUGAGUAAUGCAACGCUCUCGGAUGACUUGUGGGUUGGAGUGAAAAGCUUAUCGAACUUGGUAAUAGCUGGUUCUCUCCGAAACAGCUUUUGGGUUGGCGUCGCGUGUUCCUUGUGGGGGUAGAGCACUGGAAGGAUUAAACAGGGCUUCGGCUCAUUAAUCCUAUCAAACUCCGAAUACCACAAAUUAAGAGCGCGGCAGUUAGUCCGUGGGGGCUAAGCUCCACAGGACAAAAGGGAAACAGCCCUAGAUCGCCAGUUAAGGUCCCUAAAUUAACGCUCAGUGUAAGCAAGGAGGUGAAGUUUCUUUGACAGUGAGGAUGUUGGCUUAGAAGCAGCCACCAUUUAAAGAAAGCGUAACAGCUCACUCACUCAGAGACUUUGCGCCGAAGAUGAUCGGGACUCAAGCGUUAUACCGAAACUGCGGGUUCGCAAUUAUUUUUAUAAUCGCGAGCGGUAGGAGAGCGUUCCAUUCCGCGAUGAAGGCAAAGGGGUGACCCAUGCUGGAGCGUGUGGAAGUGAAAAUGUUGGCACGAGUAACCGCAAUGCGGGUGAGAUUCCCGCACGCCGAAAGACCAAGGUUUCCUUCGCAAUGGAGAUCAGCGAAGGGUUAGCCGGGCCUAAGCCAAUGGCGAAAGCCGAAGGUGAUGGACACAGGGUUAAUAUUCCCUGGCUCGGACGUGGUGCGAUGAGAUGACGGAGGGUAGUAGUGUGCGCCCCUUAUUGGUUUGGGGUCAUUGCUCUGAGGGUGCUGGCGAGGUAAAUCCCGUCCGCAUAGCCCAAGGAGAGAUGAGAACUGUGCUUCGGCACGGGAAUGCACAUGAGCACGCUUUCAAGAAAAGUCUCUAAGCAUAACCACGUACGAUCCGUACCAGAAACCGACACAGGUGGUCAGGUCGAGUAGACCAAGGCGAACAAGUGAUUGCUCCUUAAGGAACUCGGCAAAAAAGCGGCCGUAACUUCGGGAUAUGGCCUGCCCCUCGCAAGAGGGGCCGCAGCGAAAGAUUCCCUGACAACUGUUUACCAAAAACACAGCUCCCUGCGAACUCGUAAGAGGAUGUAUAGGGGGUGACACCUGACCAAUGCCGGAAGGUCAAGUAUGGGGGGUACAUGGAUUUAUCUAUGUGCUGGACUAUAUAAGCCCCGGUCAAUGUCGGCGAUAACUAUAAUCGUCCUAAGGUUCCGCGUUUCUCGCAAGAGGAAUGCGGAAGGACUGGGACGAUUAUGGAGGAAGGGGUAAACAGAAAUAUCUACACUAAAAAAGCUACCUUGUGCCCGCGCAGCAAUGCGUCACGCACUUGUCCAAAACAUGACUAUAUGAUGAUGGGUCCGAAACCGAUCAUCAGGCAACCCUGAGCGCAAGCGACUGGGGGCCAGAGAGACUAUACGCCAUGUGCCCUGAACGAAAGUGACGGGUGAAGAAAUAGUCCAACGUAAAGGAAUAGUUGAGCGUAAUUCCUUGUCGGGUAAAUUCCGACGUGCACGAAUGGUGUAAUGAUUGGGGAACUGUCUCAAGGAGCAGCUUGGUGAAAAUACAGUACCGGUGAAGAUGCCGGUUACCUGCAGCUAGACGAAAAGACCCCAGAAGCUUUACUGCAGCUUCAUAUUGGGGAUACGAGGAUACUGCGUAGCAUAGGUGGGAGAGGUUGAAGUGAUCCUUUAGGGGGUCAUGGACUCGUCAGUGAAAUACCACUCUUUAUUCUUGUAUCUUCUAACCUGGGUAGCAAAAAUGCACAGGAACAGUAUGUGGCAGGUAGUUUAAGUGGGGCGCUUUCCUCCUAAAAAGUAACGGAGGAGCUUAUUAAGGUCACCUAGGCGCGGAUGGAAACCGUGCCGAUAGUGUAAUGGCAAAAGGUGGCUUGACUGCGAGACGUAGGUGUCAAGCAGGUGCGAAAGCAGAACAUAGUGAACCGACCUUCCGCGUUAGAUGCGGGGGGAGAUUAACCGAUAAAAGUUACUCUGGGGAUAACAGGCUAGUUCCGCCUAAGAGUCCAAAUCGACGGCGGAGUUCGGCACCUCGAUGUCGGCUCACCUUAUCCCGGGGCUGGAGAAGGUCCCAAGGGUUUGGCUGUUCGCCAAUUAAAAAGGUACGCGAGCUGGGUUCAGACCGUUCAGGAUGCGAGAGCUAAGGCACGCAAGUGCACGCUCACAUUCGUGUCCUGAACACGUCUGAACUCCGAGGAAUACUUAGUUAGACAAUUCACGGCGGCUCUCUAUAGAAAUACAGAGAUGCAUGUCUGACAUAUUUCGGUAGACGCAACCACGACCUAACCUGGCGUGGGUAAAGCAAUACCGAGGGAAUCUUGAGCGAAAGCGAGAGAGCCCGUAGAGACUACACGUCAGAUACCUGACUUCGUGCAAACGAAAAGGUAAAGAUAUAGUCCAGUACAUAACACAAUCAGUAUGUAUAGCGUGAGACAGGUUGGUCUUAAUCUGCUGCAGGCGUUGAUUUUUGAAGAGUUUCGUCCCUAGUACGAGAGGACCGGGAUGAACUGACCUCUGGUCUGUGAGCUGUCGCUACCCGCGGCAUUGCUCAGUAGCUAUGUCGGGAACGGAUAAACGCUGAAAGCAUAUAAGCGUGAAACCGCCUCUAAGAUAAGAAAUCAUUUGAGACCCGUGAGAGAUGAUCACGUUGAUAGGCACUAGGUGGAAGUGCAGUAAUGCAUUGAGCCGAGGUGUACUAAUUCGUCGAAGAAACUCCUGUU
rnacentral:rRNA from 1 species